rnacentral:rRNA from 1 species
UACGUAGGGGGCAAGCGUUGUCCGGAUUUAUUGGGCGUAAAGAGCUCGUAGGUGGUUCGGUAAGUCGGAUGUGAAAUCUCCAGGCUCAACCUGGAGGGGUCAUUCGAUACUGCCGUGACUAGAGGUCGGUAGGGGAGUGUGGAAUUCCUGUGGAGGCGGUGGAAAUGACGCAGAUAGUCAGGAGGAACACCCGUAGCGAAGGCGGUACUCUGGGCCGAUACUGACACUGAGGAGCGAAAGCGUGGGGG